rnacentral:tRNA from 1 species
GUUUAUAUAGUUUAAUUUAAAACCAUUCAUUUUCAGUGAAUAAAUGAGUAUCUAUACUCUAUAAAUA